AAACUGCGAAUGGCUCAUUAUAUAAGUUAUCGUUUAUUUGAUAGUACCUUACUACUUGGAUAACCGUGGUAAUUCUAGAGCUAAUACAUGCUAAAAAUCCCGACUUCGGAAGGGAUGUAUUUAUUAGAUUAAAAACCAAUGCCCUCCGGGGCUCACUGGUGAUUCAUGAUAACUCCUCGAAUCGCAUGGCCUUGCGCCGGCGAUGGUUCAUUCAAAUUUCUUCCCUAUCAACUUUCGAUGUUUGGGUAUUGGCCAAACAUGGUUGCAACGGGUAACGGAGGGUUAGGGCUCGACCCCGGAGAAGGAGCCUGAGAAACGGCUACUACAUCCAAGGAAGGCAGCAGGCGCGCAAAUUACCCAAUCCCGACACGGGGAGGUAGUGACAAUAAAUACUGAUACAGGGCUCUUUUGGGUCUUGUAAUUGGAAUGAGUACAAUUUAAAUCCCUUAACGAGGAACAAUUGGAGGGCAAGUCUGGUGCCAGCAGCCGCGGUAAUUCCAGCUCCAAUAGCGUAUAUUAAAGUUGUUGUGGUUAAAAAGCUCGUAGUUGAACCUUGGGCCUGGCUGGCCGGUCCGCCUCAC
rnacentral:rRNA from 1 species